CACCCACCUGUCAUGCACGGCAGUACACACACACACACACACGCACACACACCCACCUGUCAUGCAUGGCAGUACACACACACACACACACACACACCUGUCAUGCAUGGCAGUACACAUACAGGCACCUGGCGCACUCUACCGAUGUACGACACGUGGUUAAUUUAGUUUAGCGUACGUCAGUUUAAGGAGUGAGGGCAGCGUGGCGACAGAGAGGGAGGUCACUGGGUGUCUAGGAAGGUGCUGUUGGCACCAGCAAGAUUACGUAGCCAGGAGCCUUGGUGAGGUCUCUGGCACCGGCGCCCACAGGCACUGCGUUCUUGGCACCUUCACCGCUGGGAACACCGGUGACCUCACCGGCCAGAGGUGGCAAUUCCCCCUGUUGUUGCUGCUGCGACCUCUGCACCUCCUCCAGCAGUGAGCGCAGUGUUGACGCACGCCUCUCUCUCUCUCCUCCGCUGACACUGCGGCAGUUUCUCACCCUCAGAGAGAAGCAGUUUUCCCGCGGUUAUUAUCCAGUUCAUGUGAAGUGUGAGCUUCGCAAUGCAGGAAAGUUUGAUCUAAAUGAGCAGCCAAAACUUACGACCACUGGACAUGACACCCAAGCUGCUGAUGGUAAACAGAUGACGAACUACGCAUAUUAUCGUCCGUAGUGCAAGAGUGUGUAUAGUGACCCUAAAUUCAUUCGGUGACCGCCAUGUAGAUGAAACCCCUUUGUUGUAGAUCCAAGUAGCAGAGCUCCCAUGUAGUGGAGCUCCAGGUGGCCAAUCUCUCACUUAGUGGCCCCCAGCGCCUCUUUCAGGCAUACCCUGCCGGUGUUGGACCAAACACCUGCGCACUGUGAUUCCGAACUGUGAUAAAAUUAUACGUGGACCAGUGCUAGCCCUGGAGCUAGAGACCAGUGCCUUCCAAGUGUGAGCAGCCCAUGUGGCGCUAUCCACACGUUACCUGUCAAACCUUAAACUGUGAAGCUCAAACUAGUGCCAAAAGUAAUCUUUAAGACGGUAGCAGCAAGUGGUGUGUUACAGACUGUAGCGUUUAACAUUAGCAGUGAGUAAAGGUGUGUUUAAAGCGGUCAUAGCGAGUCAAGGAGUGUUUUAUGUGGAGCAGAGAGGCCAGCACCAGCGACCUUAUGUGUGACAUCAUGCUGUCCAGAGGCCAUGGAGGUCAGGGGAGGUUCUCUCUCCAGAACCUCUUCCUCGGACAACACUUCACAUCCAAACUGGAGGAACAGAUGCGGGUGGAUGCCGAGGAACCCAUGUCACCCAUGUCACCCAUGUCUCAGGGCUCAGACCACGACCAUGAGAAACCCACCAUAAGACAGGUAGGUUAAAAAAAC